AUUGAACGCUGGCGGCAGGCCUAACACAUGCAAGUCGAACGGUAACAGGAAGACGCUUGCUUCUUUGCUUACGAGUGGCGGACGGGUGAGUAAUGUCUGUGAAACUGCCUGAUGGAGGGGGAUAACUACUGGAAACGGUAGCUAAUACCGCAUAACGUCGCAAGACCAAAGAGGGGGACCUUCGGGCCUCUUGCCAUCGGAUGUGCCCAGAUUGGAUUAGCUAGUAGGUGGGGUAACGGCUCACCUAGGCGACGAUCCCUAGCUGGUCUGAGAGGAUGACCAGCCACACUGGAACUGAGACACGGUCCAGACUCCUACGGGAGGCAGCAGUGGGGAAUAUUGCACAAUGGGCGCAAGCCUGAUGCAGCCAUGCCGCGUGUAUGAAGAAGGCCUUCGGGUUGUAAAGUACUUUCAGCGGGGAGGAAGGGAGUAAAGUUAAUACCUUUGCUCAUUGACGUUACCCGAAGAAGAAGCACCGGCUAACUCCGUG
rnacentral:rRNA from 1 species